rnacentral:rRNA from 1 species
UACAGAGGUCUCAAGCGUUGUUCGGAUUCAUUGGGCGUAAAGGGUGCGUAGGCGGCGCGGUAAGUCGGGUGUGAAAUCUCGGGGCUUAACUCCGAAACUGCAUUCGAUACUGCCGUGCUUGAGGACUGGAGAGGAGACUGGAAUUUACGGUGUAGCGGUGAAAUGCGUAGAUAUCGUAAGGAAGACCAGUGGCGAAGGCGGGUCUCGUGGACAGUUCCUGACGCUGAGGCACGAAGGCCAGGGGAGCAAACAGG